UACGGGGGGAGCAAGCGUUGUUCGGAUUUACUGGGCGUAAAGGGCGCGUAGGCGGCCAGCACAAGUCAGUUGUGAAAUCUCCGGGCUUAACUCGGAAAGGUCAACUGAUACUGUGCGGCUAGAGUGCAGAAGGGGCAACUGGAAUUCUCGGUGUAGCGGUGAAAUGCGUAGAUAUCGGGAGGAACACCAGUGGCGAAGGCGGCUGCCUGGGCCAGUUCUGACGCUGAGGCGCGAAAGCGUGGGGAGCAAACAGG
rnacentral:rRNA from 1 species